rnacentral:rRNA from 1 species
AUUGAACGCUGGCGGCAGGCCUAACACAUGCAAGUCGAACGAGUGGCGGACGGGUGAGUAAUGUCUGGGAAACUGCCUGAUGGAGGGGGAUAACUACUGGAAACGGUAGCUAAUACCGCAUACCAUCGGAUGUGCCCAGAUGGGCGUAGCUAGUAGGUGGGGUAAAGGCUCACCUAGGCGACGAUCCCUAGCUGGUUUGAGAGGAUGACGAGCUACACUGGAACUGAGACACGGUCCAAACUCCUACGGGAGGCAGCCGUGGGGAAGAUGGCACAAUGGGCGCAAGCCUGAUGCAGCCAUGCCGCGUGGAUGAGGAAGGCCUUAGGGUUGUAAAGUACUUUCAGCGGGGAGGCGUUACCCGCAGAAGAAGCACCGGCUAACUCCGUGCCAGCAGCCGCGGUAAUUC